UGUAAAGUGAUACAAAGUGUUUUGUUUUGGUUGUUUGUUUUUGUUUUAUUCUUCUCAUAUCAUGUUCAAACCAGGAAUUUACUCUAUCUCAGUCUAGUAAGGAACUGGAUUUACACAUUUCUAAUGAUCACUGACUUAAAGACAAGUGCUGUGCAGAAGAAACUGGCCCAGAUACUCUUCUGUUUUACAUUUUGACUUCUGUAGAGAUAUUAACAAAACAGUUCACUAUAUUUGGAAUGCUAAUGGCAGUCAAGUUACAUCAAGAGAAGGAUCUAUUAUUAAAUUGACAGAAUGUCAACGGCAGAAAUCAGUUAUAACUUGUUCUGCAUGUCAUUAGCAGGAACAAUCACAUGCAAAUUCUUAACGUUGAUCAAAAUUUUAUUUCUCAUUGAUUUUUUUUUUUCUGUGCUAGACAGGAUAAGGAAUUAUUCUUGAGGGUAGUCUGGUACUCAACAGAAACUGCAGUGCUAAAAGACAGAUGUUACCUCAUGAGUAGCUCAUGCGCUAAUUUCUCCCUUAGAAAUGUUUACUUGAAGUCAGUGAAACCUGGGUGAGGCGGUCUUAGAUUUCAAAGAGAUUUCCCACGUAUCUGGUUUUGAUUGUCAUAUCCUUCAAUGCACUUGUCCAAAUCCUACCCACAUGCUACUAUGCAGAUAAGGCACUCCUACGUAUUGAAUGUUCUGCACAGAAACGCCUAAGCAGCCUUUUUUUCCCUUCAACAAAUGGAGCACUAAAAAUUAUUCUGAAGCAAGUACAAUUCUGCCCACCAACUGUGGAUAAUGCAGGGACACCUUUGAGUAUGUUAUUAUAUAAGCUCAGAGCAAGGAGUGAAGAAAAAAUGGCAAACUUUGCUGCAGCUUUAGAAAGUUGCCAGCAGCUUGAAAAAUUCACCUAUAGAGAGAGCUGAGGUGGAAAAUGAAAUUGUUUAAUUCACUUAAGCUACUAAUUCUAUUAAUGUCAAUAACAAACUGACGCGACCAUACUGAGCAGCCCUCUGUUCCCUGGAAUGAAGAAAGCAGUAGUAAGACCAGAAUAAGGAUAAUUUGCUCUUAAUGCUUCUCUAAAACUGCAGUUUUGUUGUUGGAGGUGAUGCUCUUUCCACAGUUGCAGAAAAACUGGAGUGUUGACAGCACUUUAAUUUGCAGUUUAAUAGGCAGAUUUAAUUUGCUUUGCUGGAUUAGAAAAGUGAGCACUGAUAUGUUGGCUAGCCCCAGAAAUGAGCAGUGUAGCUAUUUCACACCUUCGUUAUUACCUGCAUAGUGUAUCCUGUUGCUGUCUUCUGACAAAAACUCUUCUCAAUUGAAGCUAUGUGCUUUUGAAUUUCUUUUUUAGUUCAAGGAGCUUUAUUUCAAGGAAAGCUAUGGGAGCUCCUGCAUGCAUGUUCACAAUGAGAGAACUGUUUGUAAGGGAGUUGAUCAUCUUUGGGUGCUUGAAGCGAUAGAUAAAGGUAAAAAAAAUGUCUGUGCAUCGUGAAUUGUUACUUUCCAUUAAAAAGAUGUACAUUUAGAAACUAAAUCAGUGUUGUGAACAAAAUCUAGGUCGUAUAUUUUUAAACCUACCUUGUCCCUUUACAAUUUAAACUCAAGAAAUUAUAUUAGAAAUUGAAUUAUUUUAUUUAGAUGCUCUUUUAUUCUUACUAGUAAAAAUGAAUAAAAAUGACUGGGACAGCUUGCAGUUUGAUUCUUCAUAGUUCAGUGAUCAGGUUCCGUAUGUUGAAAUAAGUAACUAUUUAAAGCCAUCUGUUUCCUUUGGAAUUAAAAGUAAUAAUAUUUCCAGUAGUGUUAAGUAUUUCACUGAUACUUAAAAAUAAAUGAAGUAGCAGCACGUUUUUACACUAUUUGAUAAUGAUAUAUUUUGUAUUUCAGAGAGGAUAGCUCUUCUUUAUUUGAGCUCCUCUUUACAUUAGAGUUAUUGCUUGCAUUGGUAAAUCACCUAUCUCAGAUGUUAAAUAUUUCAUUGGCAAAACUGACACAAAGACCUGACCUUAAUUAUUGGAGUGGGAUUCCAGCAGUGUAUAGGCCCUCCUCAGGUCAUUGGAUAAAAAAAGAAAUGUAUAUUUCCAUUUUAAAGAUUAGAAAGAUGGUGAUGUUAUCACUUGAAUCAAAGGUUCCAUCCACUCCUCCCUUCUCAUGACAGUGCAAUUUCUCUUUGAAAGUGUUGAUGUUACUGAUAUCAGUAUCAUCAGAUUGUUCCUGGGAAAGCCACAAAAUCCUGAGUCAGGUCACUUGGCAGUCAAGUGGAGGAGAAAACUGCUUUUAAAGCUAUACUGAAUUGCUUUAAAUUGCAAAUAUCUUUGUAUUUGCUUUAGGGGCUAGGUUUUGUUUUCAAUUCUGUUGUUGCACUCUGGGUUGGAACCUAAAAUUUAUGUUUCUUUGACUGUUUAAUGUUUUUUUUCAUCAUCUUCAUAAAUAGUAAUGACUAGCUUAUGUAUAUCCAGGUAAGUAAGGCAAAAAGCCCCUGGAUGUGCCGAGUCUGAAAGAAAUUUAAAUUAGUGUAUAAAAUUUUAGAAGAGGAAUUAAGGCUCUUAGCAGCUAACCGAAAGCCUAGAAUCUUUUAAAUUCUGUCAGUGGUUUGGUAGGUACAGCUAAAUCUAGCUUUACUUAAGAAAGACAGUGGCAGGAAUAUGGUUCAAAGUAAAAGGGUUUCAGCUUAAUGAAAGCUAUUUAGUAUGUUCUUCUAAAUCUACAGAAAAGCAAAUCUUUAUUCCCAAGGUAUAGAUAAUUUUUAGUAUGGGAAUCCCAAAAAUUUUAAUGAACAUUCUUUUUUUUUUUCAUUUCCAAUUAGCCUCAAACCUAGCUUCCAGAGUUCUAGCCUUCAACACUGAGAAUUCUAAUUGUAAUAAAGCACUUAAGGUGGUAUUUAAUUAGGGUGGUGAUAGGAAAGACCUGAGCUGGGGCUGAGGUGUUAAUCCUUUUUUGCAUUCCUCAGUGUUCCCUUGUGAUUGUGAUUGAUGAGUUGAUGUCUCUUUACAACUUCAUUUGUAUCAUGUGGUAAUAGCCACAGGCAGAAGUGCUGUAUAUUUUCAGACCCAUUAGUACAAAGAAAUGUGGAAAAAAGGGUAGAGGGUAGUGUGAAGAGUUGUCUUAGUUCCUAACUUACAAAAUAACUGGUUUACAUUUGUUAAUGUGAUUAUCGGUGUAAGUGCUGGUGUUUAUAAUAUCUUUGUCUAUUUUACCUUGAAAACACUUAUGUCUUCCACUCACCGUCCAGCUCUUUCCCACAUCUAUUUGUAUCCCACUUACAGUGUGAGAAUG
rnacentral:lncRNA from 1 species